rfam:Ricinus communis cultivar Hale ctg_1100012354726, whole genome shotgun sequence.
AGAUCAUAAUGUGGAUGGCUCCUCAACAAAUCAUUGAAUCGUUCCCAACAUUCAUAUAAAGUUUCAUUCUCCUACUGAAGAAACCUUGCUAUGUCAUUCCUCAACUU